rnacentral:rRNA from 1 species
UACGUAGGGGGCUAGCGUUGUCCGGAAUCAUUGGGCGUAAAGAGCGUGUAGGCGGCCCGGUAAGUCCGCUGUGAAAGUCGGGGGCUCAACCCUCGGAAGCCGGUGGAUACUGUCGAGCUAGAGUACGGAAGAGGCGAGUGGAAUUCCUGGUGUAGCGGUGAAAUGCGCAGAUAUCAGGAGGAACACCAAUUGCGAAGGCAGCUCGCUGGGACGUUACUGACGCUGAGACGCGAAAGCGUGGGGGGCAAACAGG